rnacentral:lncRNA from 1 species
AUGAGAUCAUGCUCGGAAAAACUCCGUCAGCCGGCCAAGGCUCGUACAGAGCGCUGUUGUUUGGCGGAGUGCUGGCGCAAGGGUGGGAGCCCGGGGGCCCUGGCCCCGCGACUCGACCGGGCCGCCCUCCUCCCGCCUCCCUGCGCCCCUGCAGGCCCGCAGCUGCAGCGGCAGGAGAGGAGGGCACAGCUGGUUCACCUCCGUCCCCUCCAGCCCCAGCCCCGCCAAGACGGAAAUAACCGCCCGCUCCAGACCCGGCCCGACCGGUUCUCGGCUCUGGGGGAGAGGUGGCCAGGCGGGUGGGGCCGAGGCGGGGCCGGGUCCGCGGGUGGGAGACACCUCCCCCCCGCCUUGGGCUCGCCGCGCUUGCUGGGGCCACGUGGCUGCCGCCUGCGGUCCCUUCGCGCGUCUUGUCCCGCGUGCCCCCCGGGCCUGAGCCGGGGCCCCGGGACCCCGGCUCCCCGCUGCCCCUUACCUCGUGGCCCUCGCGGAGUGGGGCAGGCGCGCUCUCGGGCUCCGACUGGGACGCCCCUCUCCUCGGUUCGGAGCCCGCCUCUGCCUCCGAGUCCCAAGUCCGCUCCUUCUUCCUUUUUCCUCCGGGCGGAUCACACCUGGCAAAGUGUCAUGCGGGACCUGGAGGGGGGGUCCAGGACCCAGGCGUCCUCCUCAGGACCCCUCCUCUCUCAGGUUCCAGGGGUCCUGCCUCCUACCUCUCUUACUCCUCAGACCCAGGAGUCCCAGGUCCCCCCCCCCCCCCCCCCCCCGGACCCUGGGGUCCAGGCCGCCGACCCUCCCUGCCUCAGACCCAAGGAGUCCGGGCCCUCACCCCUGGCAGGCCCUGGCCUCGGGUCCCUUCUUACCUGCACCGGGGACCGAAGUGUCAGCCCCUCUCGGGGGGCCAUGGUAGGAGCCCAAACGGGCCGCGAAGUCACUGCCCAGUCCAGCCCAGUCCCUCUGGGGCAGAGAGGGUUAAGGCCCAGGCCCCUCCCCGCCUUCCUUAUCCCCCAAAAGUUUGCCUCUAGGAUUUAA